CUCACAAUUCCACUCAUGUCCAUCUCUCCUUUUCGAGCCCCACCCCCACUGCUGUUUCCCCCAGACUGCCUUAGACCCAAACUCCCAUCCUUUAGCUGCAGCCAUGCUGACCCCAAGAACCCUCCUGGACCUGACGCCUGGGACUUCACACCGUGACAUGCAUCAGGCGUUCCUCAUUCUCAUUAAACGCUGGUUCUGUGCAAGGUGCGGGAUGGUCCUGAUGAUGGGAAAUUUGUUUUCUUGGCCACACAAGGGUAUGUUGCCAGGUAAGUCCAGUCCCAGGUGUCCUGGGGCUUUGAGAACCUAGGUUAUUUUUUAUUCCAUCUUCCAGGAAUCGGGGUUUAGAGUGAGGGCCUGCACCUGGUGACUCAUGCCCUGGCUGCAGAUCACCGUGAACUUUCAGAAAGUCACCUGUUCCUCGUUUGCUCUCCUUGGAUGGUCUGAGAGGUGAAUAUUAACAUCUCUUGGGGCACAAAGGUUAAGUAACUUACCUUAGACCCAUGGCCAGGAGCAAGCGAGCCAAGACUGGACCUGGCCUGUCAAUCAGCAAAGCACUCACUUUUGUGACAGUCACAGAGCCAGUCACUUUGGUUCCCAUGUCACCAUGAUUGUAUCUGCAAGGGGAUUGGAUAAGUUGAGAUUCUUGGUUCCUCUGCCCUGGGUAACCAUAUUAACCUUAAAUACGUCCUCUCGAUCCAUCCAUUUAACCCACAGAUAAUCCCUUAAGCACCUCACUUAGGUCGGCCAUGACUUCCAUGUGACUUCUUAUUGAGGACAGCCCUGGCUCAGUAGGUGGAACUGUGUUUUUGAUCUGUCAGUGUGCCUACUUGAUCUCCAGUAACAUCUCACAGGCCAGUGCCUGCUGGGGCAGCCUAGCCUGGCAGGUGCUGGGAAGGGGUGGAGCCUGCCCCCUUGGAGACCAAGAGGCUCAGGGCCAGCAGAGCUUCGGGAACUGGAGUACCAGAGUGGAGACCUAGCUGGUGUGUAAAGGAUACAGAGCUGUCUCUGUGGCUCAGCGACCGGCUCGGGGUCAAGGUCAACCCUUCUAGUGCAGAGGCAGGGCUCUUUGUGGGCCCUCCCUGUACCUGCAAGGCAGUGAGGCAGGGAGCCCAGACCUCAUGGGGUUAAACAUGGGUAGUUUUUAUUUUGUCUAGCAGAAGG
rnacentral:lncRNA from 1 species